GCCUAGCUGGCUCAGUGGGUGAAGCAUGCAACUUUUGAUUUCAGGGUCAUAAGUUCAAGCCCCAUGUUGGGUG
rfam:Ailuropoda melanoleuca scaffold1367_66, whole genome shotgun sequence.